rnacentral:lncRNA from 1 species
GUAAAGACGAUGACAGAUCUGAAGGGUCCAAGUCUGCAAAUAUAGUGAAAGAAGACACAGAGAGCAGUGACGGUGAUAUACUUUCAAUUUCGUCCAGUUCAAAUCAUCUCGCGGAUUCUUGGAUUCUGGAUUCAGCAUGUUCCUAUCACAUGACGCCCAAUAAAGAUUGGUUUGACACCUACAGGUUAGUUAAUUCUGGUUCUGUUUU